UUAUUAAAUAUUAUUAAAUAUUUUAUAAGAAUAUAAAUGUUUAAUUUUUUAUAUUAAAAAAUAUAUCAGAUCAAGGUGCAGUUUAUAAUAAAGAAGAAAUGGGUUACAAUAAAUUUAUUUAAAUGGAUAAGAAUAUAAAAAUUUUUUAGAAGGUGGAUUUGAAAGUAAUAAUAUUAAAAUUAAUUUUAUGAUUUWAGCUCUAAAAUGUGUACAUAUCGCCCGUCGCUCUUAUUAUAAGAUAAGAUAAGUCGUAACAAAGUAGAUGUACUGGAAAGUGUAUCUA
rnacentral:rRNA from 1 species